GAUGAACGCUGGCGGCGUGCCUAAUACAUGCAAGUCGAGCGAACAGACGAGGAGCUUGCUCCUCUGACGUUAGCGGCGGACGGGUGAGUAACACGUGGAUAACCUACCUAUAAGACUGGGAUAACUUCGGGAAACCGGAUCUAAUACCGGAUAAUAUAUUGAACCGCAUGGUUCACUAGUGAAAGACGGUUUUGCUGUCACUUAUAGAUGGAUCCGCGCCGCAUUAGCUAGUUGGUAAGGUAACGGCUUACCAAGGCAACGAUGCGUAGCCGACCUGAGAGGGUGAUCGGCCACACUGGAACUGAGACACGGUCCAGACUCCUACGGGAGGCAGCAGUAGGGAAUCUUCCGCAAUGGGCGAAAGCCUGACGGAGCAACGCCGCGUGAGUGAUGAAGGUCUUCGGAUCGUAAAACUCUGUUAUUAGGGAAGAACAAAUGUGUAAGUAACUAUGCACGUCUUGACGGUACCGAAUCAGAAAGCCACGGCUAACUACGU
rnacentral:rRNA from 1 species